UCUGAUAGUCGUCCCUUUUGAUCUACCUCUUAAAAAGGGGAAAGUAAAAUUUAAAAAAAGGGUCAAACCAAAUAAUAAAGUUUUCCUUUCGGGAUUUGUGAAUGAUUAAACUUACUUGUAGCUUACUUAGGUCUGUUUUAUUUGCUGGAAUUAUUUUACGGUAACGUAAAUUCUUUGUGUGUUCCUCUGGAAUUUUGACAUCAUAUUAUCCAUUUAUUUAUUGCUGCCCUAUUAUGUUCUGCCUUGUCCAUGCUGAUAUUUUGCCACAGAAUUAAAUUUAGUUAGAAAACCAAUUUUUAGGGGGUUCUCCAAAUGUUCCCUAAGUGUCUCCUAAGUUCUAUGGAUUUUCCUCAGUUUCUUCAUGUCCUUGCUGCUUGACCAAGCUAGGCUAUAAGUAACCUGGUGAAGGAAGCUGCUAUAUAUAAACACCUCAACCCUCAACUGAUAGCAUCCUCGCCGUCGAUUCCCAAUUGUGUCGAGAGGUAUAUGACCGAACGAAGAAUAAUACUGGCAAGUCCGUUCUAAUUUUAUUAUAGUUAUAUUUAUCGCUAUUUUCACAUUCUAAAAAGAAAAUUAAAUAAGGAAAACUCCAAAAUAUUGUCUAUUGGUUUAAUAGUAUAACAAUUUACCAGUUUUCUAAACAGUUAAAAACUUUUCACUUUUAUAAGAGUUUUAUAGUUUAAUUCAAGUGUAAAUGUAUCCAGGUUAAACAGAAUAAUAAUAUUAUAUUCUCAUUUAUGUAAAUAUAGUCCUGUGUUUGCGGUUUACUUUAUCAUAAUAAUUAGUGGUAUAUAAAUACUUGAUACUUGU
rnacentral:lncRNA from 1 species